rnacentral:rRNA from 1 species
GAUGAACGCUGGCGGCGUGCCUAAUACAUGCAAGUCGAGCGAACAGACGAGGAGCUUGCUCCUCUGACGUUAGCGGCGGACGGGUGAGUAACACGUGGAUAACCUACCUAUAAGACUGGGAUAACUUCGGGAAACCGGAGCUAAUACCGGAUAAUAUAUUGAACCGCAUGGUUCAAUAGUGAAAGACGGUUUUGCUGUCACUUAUAGAUGGAUCCGCGCCGCAUUAGCUAGUUGGUAAGGUAACGGCUUACCAAGGCAACGAUGCGUAGCCGACCUGAGAGGGUGAUCGGCCACACUGGAACUGAGACACGGUCCAGCCUCCUACGGGAGGCAGCAGUAGGGAAUCUUCCGCAAUGGGCGAAAGCCUGACGGAGCAACGCCGCGUGAGUGAUGAAGGGCUGCGGAUCGUAAAACUCUGUUAUUAGGGAAGAACAAAUGUGUAAGUAACGAUGCACGUCUUGACGGUACCUAAUCAGAAAGCCACGGCUAACUACGG